UGGGUAAACCCGCCGAAAGACGGGGACACAAAGCCAGAUGGGUCUAAGGUUUUGAAACAUUUUAUUGUAUUCAGACGAUGACAGCCGGUUGC
rnacentral:ncRNA from 1 species